CUCCGCCCUCUCUGUCCUUCGGUGGAGACUCCGGGAAAAACCUGCCUCCCAGUCUGCCCUCUCUCCGUCUGUCUGUGCUUGUUUUUCUACGUUUAUCCCUGUCGCUUUCCCCACUUAUUCUGCAGGCAUGGCGCGCCCCCAGUGCCGGCUUGGUGCCAGGGCUGGGAGAUCCGGGGGUGAAUCGUGAGCCCGGCCCACAGCGAGCUUGCAGUCUAGAGAUCAAGGCAGUCUUGUCCACAACCUGCUGUCACAUAAAGCAAAUGUAGCUGGUGUAGCACCAGGGGCUGCAAUCAAGUGCGGUGGGGCGGCAAUAGUGACCACGGAAAUAAUCAGAAUUGCUUUUAAUUCAGCUCCUACUAUAUUCCCGCAUCCCUGAGCCUCACAAUCAUCCUCCAAGGUAGGUAUUUUUGUCUUUCUCUAACAGAUGAAAACUCUGAGUUUCAGAAGAAUUAAAUGACAUCCCCCCAAAAGAGAGACAGUAUAAGAAUCCAAGUCAACCUGAGUCCAAAACCAGUGGCCCUUAACACUGUGUGGCUUUAUGGAGGACAUGGAGUUUAAGUUUACCUUCAAGGAUGAGCAACACUUUUCUUCAAGCAGAAAAAGAAGGGAAUGGGUGAACACGGUCCCAGGCUGCAGCAGCCCCCAUCGAGGCCACUCAUUUACAGCACAGGCCCACACAGUCUGACAAAGGACAGCUGCAAUCCUCUGUCAACUGCAGUCCUUUCCCAGGCACAUGCUGGAUUGGGAAACAGGUGGGAGAAAAGAACAGACAUUUAUCAAGCACCUACUCUGUGCCUAGCAUUGUGCUAGGUGCUAGAGAGCCAAAAAUAAAUAGCAGCUGCUCUUGUGGAGGUCACAGUCUUGGAGGAGUUAAAGACACGGAAACAAAUUACAACACAGCGUAACAGCAGUGACAGAAGCACGUAUGAUAUGGUUUGACUGUGGCCCCACCAAAUCUCAUCCUGAAUUGUAGUUCCCAUAAUCCCCACUUGUGGUGGG
rnacentral:lncRNA from 1 species